CUACAAAGGAAGUUGACGGGGCCCGCACAAGCGGUGGAGCAUGUGGUUUAAUUCGAAGCAACGCGAAGAACCUUACCAGGUCUUGACAUCCCCUGACAACCCGAGAGAUCGGGCGUUCCCCUUCGGGGGACAGGGUGACAGGUGGUGCAUGGUUGUCGUCAGCUCGUGUCGUGAGAUGUUGGGCUAAGUCCCGCAACGAGCGCAACCCUCGACCUUAGUUGCCAGCAUUCAGUUGGGCACUCUAAGGUGACUGCCGGCUAAAAGUCGGAGGAAGGUGGGGAUGACGUCAAAUCAUCAUGCCCCUUAUGACCUGGGCUACACACGUGCUACAAUGGGCGGUACAAAGGGUCGCGAACCCGCGAGGGGGAGCCAAUCCCAAAAAGCCGCUCUCAGUUCGGAUUGCAGGCUGCAACUCGCCUGCAUGAAGCCGGAAUCGCUAGUAAUCGCGGAUCAGCAUGCCGCGGUGAAUACGUUCCCGAGCCUU
rnacentral:rRNA from 1 species